rnacentral:rRNA from 1 species
AUUGAACGCUGGCGGCAGGCCUAACACAUGCAAGUCGAACGGUAACAGGAAGAAGCUUGCUUCUUUGCUGACGAGUGGCGGACGGGUGAGUAAUGUCUGGGAAACUGCCUGAUGGAGGGGGAUAACUACUGGAAACGGUAGCUAAUACCGCAUAACGUCGCAAGACCAAAAAGGGGGACCUUCGGGCCUCUUGCCAUCGGAUGUGCCCAGAUGGGAUUAGCUAGUAGGUGGGGUAACGGCUCACCUAGGCGACGAUCCCUAGCUGGUCUGAGAGGAUGACCAGCCACACUGGAACUGAGACACGGUCCAGACUCCUACGGGAGGCAGCAGUGGGGAAUAUUGCACAAUGGGCGCAAGCCUGAUGCAGCCAUGCCGCGUGUAUGAAGAAGGCCUUCGGGUUGUAAAGUACUUUCAGCGGGGAGGAAGGGAGUAAAGUUAAGACCUUUGCUCAUUGACGUUACCCGCAGAAGAAGCACCGGCUAACUCCGU